rnacentral:rRNA from 1 species
UCCUACGGGAGGCAGCAGUAGGGAAUAUUGGUCAAUGGACGCAAGUCUGAACCAGCCAUGCCGCGUGCAGGAUGAAGGCGCUCUGCGUUGUAAACUGCUUUUGUACGGGAAGAAUAUAUCGUUUGCGAACGGUUUUGACGGUACCGUAAGAAUAAGGAUCGGCUAACUACGUGCCAGCAGCCGCGGUAAUACGUAGGAUCCAAGCGUUGUCCGGAUUUAUUGGGUUUAAAGGGUGCGCAGGCGGCCUGAUAAGUCAGUGGUGAAAGCCCGUUGCUUAACAACGGAACUGCCAUUGAUACUGUCGGGCUUGAGUACAGUUGAGGUUGGCGGAAUGUAUCAUGUAGCGGUGAAAUGCUUAGAUAUGAUACAGAACACCGAUUGCGAAGGCAGCUGACUAAGCUGUUACUGACGCUCAGGCACGAAAGCGUGGGGAUCAAACAGGAUUAGAUACCCUGGUAGUCCACGCCGUAAACGUUGAUAACUCGAUGUUGGCGAUAUACAGUCAGCGUCUUAGCGAAAGCGUUAAGUUAUCCACCUGGGGAGUACGCCGGCAACGGUGAAACUCAAAGGAAUUGACGGA